CCUACGGGAGGCAGCAGUAGGGAAUUUUCGGCAAUGGGCGCAAGCCUGACCGAGCGAUGCCGCGUGAGUGAAGAAGGCCUUCGGAUCGUAAAGCUCUGUUGCUGGGGAAGAAAAUCAGCGUCAGGAAAUGAAUGCUGACUGAUGGUGCCCCACCAGAAAGUCACGGCUAACUACGUGCCAGCAGCCGCGGUAAUACGUAGGUGGCAAGCGUUGUCCGGAAUGAUUGGGCGUAAAGGGUGCGCAGGCGGUCCUGUAAGUCUGGAGUGAAAGGCAUGGGCUCAACCCAUGAAUGGCUUUGGAAACUGGAGGACUGGAGAGCAGGAGAGGGCGGUGGAACUCCAUGUGUAGCGGUAAAAUGCGUAGAUAUAUGGAAGAACACCAGUGGCGAAGGCGGCUGCCUGGUCUGUAGCUGACGCUGAGGCACGAAAGCGUGGGGAGCAAACAGGAUUAGAUACCCCAGUAGUC
rnacentral:rRNA from 1 species